GAUUUGUUGACCAUGUAUCUCAUAGUGGUAAUUUUAUGCAUAAUGAAAAGGAUAUAUCAUAAAUCAAAGUGAUGUGGUAUCAAUAAAAUAUUGAGAAUCCCUCCCUUUGAGUAAGAUCAAUUUUUGCAGUGCCUAAAUGAGUGCAGCUCUGGCUUGAUGACAAACAACAAACAGCAUGAGCAAUAAUAUGUGGAGAACAAAUUAGAUGCACGGACAUCUUCAGCAGGGAAGAAAGGAAAACACUGGUUUGUAAUAAAUGGUUCCAGGAUCUUUCAUAUUCACACAUGUUACUUCCAAGUUCGGUGAGGGAUUAUGGUUAUGUCAGCUGUCACAUUUCUGUUUAUUAAGUUGUAAGCUUCUGUCAUUGUGCUGCCAACAUGAAAAGGUCCCAGGAGGCCCUUCAGUGGCGAGAACACCACAUUCAAUGUCAAACCAAGAGCUGUAACAAGCAAGU
rnacentral:misc_RNA from 1 species